AGCAGCCGCGGUAAUUCCAGCUCCAAUAGCGUAUAUUAAAGUUGUUGCAGUUAAAAAGCUCGUAGUUGAAUUUCGGGAUCAAUAUAUCGGUCGUGCCAUUGGUACGUACUGGUAUCAUUGGUUUCUCCUUUCUGACGAACCAUGAUGUCAUUAAUUUGGUGUUAUGGGAAGUUAGGACUGUUACUUUGAAAAAUUAGAGUGUUUAAAGCAGGCUUUAGCUUGAAUACAUUAGCAUGGAAUAAUGAAAUAGGACGUUCGAACCUAUUUUGUUGGUUUCUAGGAUCAACGUAAUGAUUAAUAGGGAUAGUUGGGGGCAUUAGUAUUCAAUUGUCAGAGGUGAAAUUCUUGGAUUUAUUGAAGACUAACUACUGCGAAAGCAUUUGCCAAGGAUGUUUUCAUUAAUCAAGAACGAAAGUUAGGGGAUCGAAGACGAUCAGAUACCGUCGUAGU
rnacentral:rRNA from 2 species